AUGAUUGGUGGUGUGGUGCCCAUGGUUGGGAUGUCCUCAUCAAGAAGGCAAGAGCAAGCUGUUGUAGCCAAGAACUCUUUUGUUCUUUUGCUACUGGAUCCAAAGCAGCUGUUGGACUUCAUUGAAAUCUGGUGCACAAACCCAGAAACACCUCUGGAUGACUUGAACUUGCCUCCUGGACCAAGCCACAUGAUUUCCUCAUUCAUCUUGAAUGAGAAGCACAAGAUAGCUCAAGCGAAGCUUGUGAAGAAACAACAAAUUCAGAAGGAGAGGGAGCUGAAGAAAAGGCCUUGGCAACUGUUGCAAUUGCAAACUGAAAUUCAUCAGCUGUCUGAAGAAUAUGAAAGAUAA
rnacentral:rRNA from 1 species